rnacentral:misc_RNA from 1 species
GAUGAAGAACGUAGCGAAAUGCGAUACUUGGUGUGAAUUGCAGAAUCCCGUGAACCAUCGAGUCUUUGAACGCAAGUUGCGCCCGAAGCCAUUAGGCCGAGGGCACGCCUGCCUGGGCGUCACACGUCGUUGCCCCCCCAUCUACUCCUUCGGGAUUGCGGGGGGCGGAUGAUGGCCUCCCGUGCGCCUCGUCGCGCGGUUGGCCUAAAUGCCAAGUCCUCGGCGACGCUCGCCACGACAAUCGGUGGUUGCGAAACCUCGGUUGCCUGUCGUGUGCGGUCGUCGCGCAUCGAGGGCUCGAAAAAAUUGCCGGGCUUCGGCUCGACUUUCAACGCGACCCCAGGUCAGGCGGGGUUACCCGCUGAAUUUAAGCAUAUCAAUAAGCGGAGGA